CUACGGGAGGCAGCAGUGGGGAAUAUUGGACAAUGGGCGAAAGCCUGAUCCAGCCAUGCCGCGUGUGUGAAGAAGGCCUUCGGGUUGUAAAGCACUUUCAGUGGGGAAGAAAGCCUUGGGGCUAAUACCCUCGAGGAAGGACAUCACCCACAGAAGAAGCACCGGCUAACUCCGUGCCAGCAGCCGCGGUAAUACGGAGGGUGCGAGCGUUAAUCGGAAUUACUGGGCGUAAAGCGCGCGUAGGCGGUCUGAUAAGCCGGUUGUGAAAGCCCCGGGCUCAACCUGGGAACGGCAUCCGGAACUGUCAGGCUAGAGUGCAGGAGAGGAAGGUAGAAUUCCCGGUGUAGCGGUGAAAUGCGUAGAGAUCGGGAGGAAUACCAGUGGCGAAGGCGGCCUUCUGGACUGACACUGACGCUGAGGUGCGAAAGCGUGGGUAGCAAACAGGAUUAGAUACCCUGGUAGUC
rnacentral:rRNA from 1 species